UGGGAAGUACGGCCGCAAGGCUAAAACUCAAAGGAAUAGACGGGGACUCGCACAAGCGGUGGAGCAUGAGGUUCAAUUCGACAGUAAACGAGGAACCUUACCAGGGCUUGAAAUCCAGACGACGAUUUGCCGAAAGGCGAAUCUUUCUCUCAAGGAACGGCUGGACAGGUGCUGCAUGGUUGUCGUCAGCUCGUGUUUUGAAAUGUUUCCUUAAGUGGUGUAACGAGCGCAACCCUUACCUGAUGUUAUAUGUGUCAUCGGGAACUGCCCUCUUUUGGGGGAGGAAGGAGAGGAUGACGUCAAAUCCGCAUGGCCCUCUGAUGCCCUGGGCUACACUCGUGCUACAAUGGCCAUUACAAUGGGUUGCCAAGCCGCAAGGCGGAGCUAAUCCCAUCAAAAAUGGUCCCAGUUCGGAUUGAGGGCUGAAACUCGCCCUCAUGAAGUUGGAAUCGCUAGUAAUCGCGCAUCAGCUAUGGCGCGGUGAAUACGUUCUCGAGUCUUGUACUCACCGCCCGUCACUUCAAGGAAGCCGGGAAUACCUGAAAACUCAGCUUGCUGGGGUUAAGGUAAAUUCGGUGACACGGAAGAAGUCGUAACAAGGCACGCGUAGCGGAAGCUGUGCGUGGAUCAAUUAAACA
rfam:Candidatus Harrisonbacteria bacterium RIFCSPHIGHO2_02_FTLL_42_16 rifcsphigho2_02_scaffold_25608, whole genome shotgun sequence.